rnacentral:lncRNA from 1 species
UCCCUCAAACCAAAGAUUUCUCUCAAAUAUCUCCUCCCAUCGAUUUUCACUCUUCAAAUCGCCCAUUUAGGAAUCAAGUUCCUCUCCUCUUCCUUCUUCAUUUGGGACGGUUUGAGCUUACCCUAGACUCUACCCGUCUUCUCCAAAUUGGCACAUCACCUCUCCAAAAUCUUUGCCUUUCCAUUAGAACCUUUUUUCUCUCCCUUACAUUUAGUCUCCAAAGCUCUGUGCAAGUCCUUCUUGUGCAAAUGGCUCCCAAAAUGAAGCUUCCACAGAG